rnacentral:rRNA from 1 species
AGUGAACGCUGGCGGUAGGCCUAACACAUGCAAGUCGAACGGCAGCACAGUAAGAGCUUGCUCUUACGGGUGGCGAGUGGCGGACGGGUGAGGAAUACAUCGGAAUCUACUUUUUCGUGGGGGAUAACGUAGGGAAACUUACGCUAAUACCGCAUACGACCUACGGGUGAAAGCAGGGGAUCUUCGGACCUUGCGCGAUUGAAUGAGCCGAUGUCGGAUUAGCUAGUUGGCGAGGUAAAGGCCCACCAAGGCGACGAUCCGUAGCUGGUCUGAGAGGAUGAUCAGCCACACUGGAACUGAGACACGGUCCAGACUCCUACGGGAGGCAGCAGUGGGGAAUAUUGGACAAUGGGCGCAAGCCUGAUCCAGCCAUACCGCGUGGGUGAAGAAGGCCUUCGGGUUGUAAAGCCCUUUUGUUGGGAAGGAAAAGCAGCAGGUUAAUACCCCGCUGUUCUGACGGUACCCAAAGAAUAAGCACCGGCUAACUUCGUG